CAACUACUCCCUCAGUCCCAAACUUCUUGACUUAGAUUUGUCUAGAUACGGAUGUAUCUAAUACUAAAAUGUGACUUGAUACAUCUGUAUCUAGACAAAUCUAAGACAAGAAUUUUGGGACGGAGGGAGUACUUU
rfam:Triticum aestivum genome assembly, contig: Triticum_aestivum_CS42_TGACv1_scaffold_222411_3B